rnacentral:rRNA from 1 species
GCACAAGCGGUGGAUUAUGUUGUUUAAUUCGACGCAACGCGAAGAACCUUACCAGGCCUUGACAUACUCGGCAAAGCUCUAGAGAUAGAGUGGAGGUUAUCCGGGAUACAGGUGGUGCAUGGUUGUCGUCAGCUCGUGUCGUGAGAUGUUGGGUUAAGUCCCGCAACGAGCGCAACCCCUAUUGUUAGUUGCCAUCAUUCAGUUGGGCACUCUAGCGAGACUGCCGGUAAUAAACCGGAGGAAGGUGGGGAUGACGUCAAAUCAUCAUGCCCCUUAUGACCUGGACUACACACGUGCUACAAUGGUUGGUACAACGAGUUGCGAGUCGGUGACGGCGAGCUAAUCUCUUAAGGCCAAUCUCAGUUCGGAUUGUAGGCUGCAACUCGCCUACAUGAAGUCGGAAUCGCUAGUAAUCGCGGAUCAGCACGCCGCGGUGAAUACGUUCCCGGGCCUU